UGCCCCACAGUUCCCCGCCCGGGAACAAGGAGCUGGUAUCAGGCACACCUUGUUGAGCCCAUGACACCUUGCUUAGCCACACCCUCAAGGGAACUCAGCAGUGAUAAACAUUAAGCCAUAAGUGAAAACUUGACUUAGUUAAAGCUAAGAGGGCCGGUAAAACUCGUGCCAGCCACCGCGGUUAUACGAGAGGCCCAAGUUGACAAACACCGGCGUAAAGCGUGGUUAAGAAAAAUUCACACUAAAGCCAAACAUCUUCCAGGCUGUUAUACGCAAUCGAAGAUAGGAAGUUCAACCACGAAGGUGGCUUUAUCUAACCUGAACCCACGAAAGCUAAGGAACAAACUGGGAUUAGAUACCCCACUAUGCCUAGCCCUAAACAUUGAUAGUACUAUACACCCACUAUCCGCCCGGGAACUACGAGCAAUAGCUUAAAACCCAAAGGACUUGGCGGUGCUUUAGAUCCACCUAGAGGAGCCUGUUCUAGAACCGAUACCCCCCGUUCAACCUCACCUCUCCUUGUUUAACCCGCCUAUAUACCGCCGUCGUCAGCUUACCCUGUGAGGGACUAAUAGUAAGCAAGACUGGUACAGCCUAAAACGUCAGGUCGAGGUGUAGCGUAUGGGGAGGGAAGAAAUGGGCUACAUUCGCUACCACAGCGAACACGAAUGAUGCACUGAAACGUUCAUCUGAAGGAGGAUUUAGCAGUAAGCAG
rnacentral:rRNA from 1 species